rnacentral:rRNA from 1 species
GAUGAACGCUGGCGGCGUGCCUAAUACAUGCAAGUCGAGCGAACAGAUAAGGAGCUUGCUCCUUUGACGUUAGCGGCGGACGGGUGAGUAACACGUGGGUAACCUACCUAUAAGACUGGAAUAACUCCGGGAAACCGGGGCUAAUGCCGGAUAACAUUUAGAACCGCAUGGUUCUAAAGUGAAAGAUGGUUUUGCUAUCACUUAUAGAUGGACCCGCGCCGUAUUAGCUAGUUGGUAAGGUAACGGCUUACCAAGGCAACGAUACGUAGCCGACCUGAGAGGGUGAUCGGCCACACUGGAACUGGGACACGGUCCAGACUCCUGCGAGAGGGCGCAGUAGGGAAUCUUCCGCAGUGGGCGAAAGCCUGACGGAGCAACGCCGCGUGAGUGAUGGAGGUCUUCGGAUCGUAAAACUCUGUUAUUAGGGAAGAACAAAUGUGUAAGUAACUGUACACGUCUUGACGGUACCUAAUCAGAAAGCCACGGCUAACUACGUG